AUUGAACGCUGGCGGCAGGCCUAACACAUGCAAGUCGAGGGGUAGAAGGAGCUUGCUCCUUGAGACCGGCGCACGGGUGCGUAACGCGUAUGCAAUCUACCUUUGCAGAGGGAUAGCCCAGAGAAAUUUGGAUUAAUACCUCAUAGUAUGUGAGGAUGGCAUCAAGGAACUAUUAAAGUCACAACGGCAAAAGAUGAGCAUGCGUCCCAUUAGCUAGUUGGUAAGGUAACGGCUUACCAAGGCUACGAUGGGUAGGGGUCCUGAGAGGGAGAUCCCCCACACUGGUACUGAGACACGGACCAGACUCCUACGGGAGGCAGCAGUGAGGAAUAUUGGACAAUGGGCGCAAGCCUGAUCCAGCCAUGCCGCGUGCAGGAUGACGGUCCUAUGGAUUGUAAACUGCUUUAUACAGGAAGAAACACUCCGACGUGUCGGAGCUUGACGGUACUGUAAGAAUAAGGAUCGGCUAACUCCGUG
rnacentral:rRNA from 1 species